rnacentral:rRNA from 1 species
GGUGAACGCUGACAGAAUGCUUAACACAUGCAAGUCUUUGGCGAAGCUGUGCUUGCACAGCCUAGCCAAGGCGGACGGGUGAGUAACGCGUAAGGAACUUGCCCUGCAGUCAGGGAUAACAGACGGAAACGACUGAUAAGACCUGGUAAAGUCAGGCGGACUCAUGUCCAGCCUGCUGAAAAGAGAUGCUGCAGGAGAGCCUUGCGUCCUAUUAGCUUGUUGGUGGGGUAACGGCCCACCAAGGCGAUGAUAGGUAGCCGGCCUGAGAGGGUGGACGGCCACAAGGGGACUGAGAUACGGCCCUUACUCCUACGGGAGGCAGCAGUGGGGAAUAUUGGACAAUGGGGGCAACCCUGAUCCAGCAAUUCUGUGUGCACGAUGAAGGUUUUCGGAUUGUAAAGUGCUUUCAGCAGGGAAGAAAAAAAUGACGGUACCUGCAGAAGAAGCGACGGCUAAAUACGUG